GAUGAACGCUGGCGGCGUGCCUAAUACAUGCAAGUCGUGCGGCAGCGAGCCCUUCGGGGUGUCGUCGAGCGGCGGACGGCUGAGUAACACGUAGGAACAUACCCCCAAGUGAGGGAUAACUGCUCGCAAGAGUAGCUAAUACCGCAUGUGGUCUAAGGAUUAAAGCUUCGGCGCUUUGGGAAUGGCCUGCGUUCGAUUAGCUAGAUGGUGAGGUAAAGGCUCACCAUGGCGACGAUAGAUAGCUGGUCUGAGAGGAUGAUCAGCCAGACUGGGACUGAGACACGGCCCAGACUCCUACGGGAGGCAGCAGUAGGGAAUUUUCCACAAUGGGCGAAAGCCUGAUGGAGCAACGCCGCGUGCAGGAUGAAUGCCUUAGGGUUGUAAACUGCUUUUAUAUGUGACGAUUAUGACGGUAGCAUAUGAAUAAGGAUCGGCUAACUCCGUGCCAGCAGCCGCGGUAA
rnacentral:rRNA from 1 species